ACAAAAUCGGAAGUGGAUUACCACUGAGUGGCAGACGGGUGAGUAACACGUGGGUGACCUACCUUUCAGUGGGGGACAACAGUUGGAAACGACUGCUAAUACCGCAUAAUGUAUUCUGACCGCAUGAUCGGAAUACCAAAGAUUUAUUGCUGAAAGAUGGCCUCGCGUCUGAUUAGAUAGUUGGUGAGGUAACGGCCCACCAAGGCGACGAUCAGUAGCCGGACUGAGAGGUUGAACGGCCACAUUGGGACUGAGAUACGGCCCAGACUCC
rnacentral:rRNA from 1 species